AUAAAACUGACACCUAAAUCAAUUCAAAAGGUUACACAUCCAAAUCACGUUCUAACAUAAGCUAAUUCGUUUUGUAAACAACUAAGUGACACUAUUUUUUGAAAAACAAUAUAAAAUCCAUACAUUAUUGUAAUGAUCUUAUCCAAAAUUUUGUAGAACUUAAUAGAUAUAUAACUUUCAUGUUUUACAUUUCAAAAAUUCGAAAAAUGGGCCUAGCCGAAAAUAGGUUCCAAUAGGAAAUUGUUUGUUUUUUAAACAAUUAAACCACACAUCUCUUCUAACCUCGUCUUCUUAUUCCUUAUCUUUAUUAACCUUCUUUACCUUCUUUCGUUCACCGUCUUCUUAACUCCCAUGUUUCCAAAUAACAUCGAUGACGCAGUGAUUAAGGAAGUUGGAGAAAAAACCAAUUAUUGACAAUGGGUGCUUCUUUCAUAUUACCAGUGGGAAUACUCAAGGAACACUCAAGACAAAUGAUUCUACAGGCACUUCAAAUUUUAAUAUUUUCUGUUUUCUUAUGAAGUUGGUAAAUAAUUGAUGUUGGUUCGGGUAUCCACUGCAACAUCAGCCAACUUAUGGACAAGGAUCACAAGAAAGUUCAUUCUCUAACUGAUAGCCAUGAACAGGACUACCAUAAGGAAAAUUUUCUCUUUCACUUUUCGUUUUUUCAAAAUCUUAAUAAAAGUUUGACUUAAUCAAGUAAGCUAUAUAUACGAGUAUUAUCAGCUUAGUCUUAGUUUAUUCAUAAUUGAGUAAGUUAUACGAACCUAUGGUUUGGGAUAAUUUGCACGUUUGGUCACUAACUUAUUUUUUUAACUCGGAAGGUUCCUAUUGUUUGUUUUA